CCUACGGGAGGCAGCAGUGGGGAAUAUUGGACAAUGGACCGAGAGUCUGAUCCAGCAAUUCUGUGUGCACGAUGAAGUUUUUCGGAAUGUAAAGUGCUUUCAGUUGGGAAGAAAGAAAUGACGGUACCAACAGAAGAAGUGACGGCUAAAUACGUGCCAGCAGCCGCGGUAAUACGUAUGUCACGAGCGUUAUCCGGAUUUAUUGGGCGUAAAGCGCGUCUAGGUGGUUAUGUAAGUCUGAUGUGAAAAUGCAGGGCUCAACUCUGUAUUGCGUUGGAAACUGUAUAACUAGAGUACUGGAGAGGUAAGCGGAACUACAAGUGUAGAGGUGAAAUUCGUAGAUAUUUGUAGGAAUGCCGAUGGGGAAGCCAGCUUACUGGACAGAUACUGACGCUAAAGCGCGAAAGCGUGGGUAGCAAACAGGAUUAGAUACCCUAGUAGUC
rnacentral:rRNA from 1 species